CCUACGGGUGGCAGCAGUCGAGAAUCAUUCACAAUGGGGGAAACCCUGAUGGUGCGACGCCGCGUGGGGGAAUGAAGGUCUUCGGAUUGUAAACCCCUGUCAUGUGGGAGCAAAUUAAAAAGAUAGUACCACAAGAGGAAGAGACGGCUAACCCUGUGCCAGCAGCCGCGGUAAUACAGAGGUCUCAAGCGUUGUUCGGAAUCACUGGGGGUAAAGCGUGCGUAGGCCGUUUCGUAAGUCGUGUGUGAAAGGCGCGGGCUCAAGCCGCGGACGGCACAUGAAACUUGGAGACUAGAGUAAUGGAGGGGGAAACGGAAUUCUCGGUGGAGCAGUUGAA
rnacentral:rRNA from 1 species